rnacentral:sRNA from 16 species
ACCAGCUCUCGGACGGCGUUUCGAUUGCGCUCGGCGCCUUUAGCGGCUAC